rnacentral:misc_RNA from 2 species
AACGCACAUUGCGCCUCAUGGUAUCCCAUGGGGCAUGCCUUCCGGAGCGUCGGGAAAACCCCCUUCAAGCAUUUUUUUUGCUUGGUUGUGGAGGCUGAGCGUUGCCUGCGUGCACGUUUGCCUUCGAAAUUCAUUGGCGGACUGUUUCAUGUUCCAUUUGGCGUUAUAGGAUAACUCUUUCGCUUGGACUUAUGAGGCUGUUCAGCCCAGAAAUAACCCCCCAUUAUUCCGGAACGACCUCAAUUAGGUAAGGAUACCCGCUGAACUUAA